GCAGCUCAGGGGUAUCAGGGACCAGCUUAUGCCCCUCCCAUCGUGGCAACAAUCAGAGGCUUCUCAACAGCGCCAAUUACAUCUCAGUCAAUUCCUCAACCGAUGUAGAUGCAAAAUGGAGGGUACAAUACUUCAAUGCCCCUGGGAUAUAACGGUGCAACACUCUAUCAAUCACAAGCGCUGUUUUAUCCUUCACCAAUUCCCCCGUACAACUGCUAUUUUCAAACUCGGUGCUGUGGGGAG
rnacentral:lncRNA from 1 species